UUAAUAAAUCCGAAGAGUGGCGUUAGCUGAACUACCCGAGGGAAAAGUGAAAAUAAAGUGAAAUUCUUGAAAGAAGCAAAGGUACGUUAGUCCACCGUGGAAAGAUAAGGUUCUGACACAGUUUUAUUUAGGGAUAGGAGUACUGGAAAAUCUUAAUACAGCCAAGCCGGCCAACCAAUCUACGGUAUCAACUACUAAAACAACCAAGCUGACCGUUUGGGAGUUAGCGCAGUGCACAUCCACGGCGGCAAAGUGAAGGCUGAACCGUUGACGUUGGGCUAGCUCAAUAUCGGAAAUCAUUUACGGCUCGUGAAAGACCAACCACCAUACACCACUGCUGGACGUCCGAAUUUCAGUUUGAACCUGCCGAUCUCAUAAAAAAAGCCGGAGGACAUAAUCGUCACCAACCUACGAAAACUUACAAAGGAUUGAUGCAUACAAAUGAAUCCGUCAAAGUCAUCUUGGGCCCAACGAUACACCGAUGAGUUUAACCAAUUACUGUGAGUACCACUAGUGGCUGAAACCACAAUGUCUAUACACCAAUGCAGGCGUAAGUUUGUUGAAGUAGAUAUAUAUAUACUGAUUUGAAAGAAUAUUACCCCCCUCAAAUGCUCAAAUAAUUAAGUUUUUUUUUGCUGAUCCAAGAAGAAGGAAGUCUGUAUAUUUUUGUUUAUUUGUAAAUGUAAGGAAUCGGAUUAUAUCUGUAAUUAAUGUAAAAAAAAAAAAUAUAUAUAUAUCAAUACAAUCUCACAUGGUUAGGGACAUUUAACAUAAAAAUAAAAGGAAUUUGUAAUCAUGAAUAUGUCUGCCUAAACUAAAUAUUAUCUCCGUCCGUCAAGUACUUAUGCUUAUCUCCCUCAAAAUGCACUAGAAGAUGUUGGAUCUUUGAAUUGGGACAACGCCCGAAUGUAAACGCGUUUGUCAUGGUUGGGUGGGUAAAGACUAGGGACAUAUAUCACCGCUGUUCCCUCCAUCAGACAGAAGACGAACUACACUUUUUCUAAGCGUUUUCUAAAUGCGUAUCGGCGCAGAGUGGAAAUGAGUUUUUUUUAUUGGUUAUUGAUAUUAACGUCGAGAUCCUGCUUAUUUUUUUUUGAAGCGCAUUAUAUUGAUUUGUGUCAGGAAAACUGUGUAGCUAGGGGAGAAAGAACCCCGACCAAUCCGACGAGCUGGACCCGAGCACA